AUUGAACGCUGGCGGCAUGCUUUACACAUGCAAGUCGAACGGUAACAGGCCGCAAGGUGCUGACGAGUGGCGAACGGGUGAGUAAUGCAUCGGAACGUGCCCAGUCGUGGGGGAUAACGCAGCGAAAGCUGCGCUAAUACCGCAUACGAUCUAUGGAUGAAAGCGGGGGACCGAAAGGCCUCGCGCGAUUGGAGCGGCCGAUGUCAGAUUAGGUAGUUGGUGGGGUAAAGGCUCACCAAGCCAACGAUCUGUAGCUGGUCUGAGAGGACGACCAGCCAAACUGGGACUGAGAAACGGCCCAGACUCCUACGGGAGGCAGCAGUGGGGAAUUUUGGACAAUGGGCGCAAGCCUGAUCCAGCAAUGCCGCGUGCAGGAAGAAGGCCUUCGGGUUGUAAACUGCUUUUGUACGGAACGAAACGGUCCGGGUUAAUACCCUGGGCUAAUGACGGUACCGUAAGAAUAAGCACCGGCUAACUACGUGCCAGCCGCCGCCGUAAUAC
rnacentral:rRNA from 1 species